rnacentral:rRNA from 1 species
GUGUGCAGCCAUAUCACCCUGCAGCCCAAGACUGGUUGCCCACUAAAGCUAAGCAGGGUUGAGCCUGGUCAGUACCUGGAUGGGAGACCUCCUGGGAAAACUAGGUUGCUGUUGGAA